UGAGGAAUAUUGGUCAAUGGGCGGGAGCCUGAACCAGCCAAGUAGCGUGAAGGACGACGGCCCUACGGGUUGUAAACUUCUUUUAUAAGGGAAUAAAGUUCGCCACGUGUGGUGUUUUGUAUGUACCUUAUGAAUAAGCAUCGGCUAAUUCCGUGCCAGCAGCCGCGGUAAUACGGAAGAUGCGAGCGUUAUCCGGAUUUAUUGGGUUUAAAGGGAGCGUAGGCGGGCUUUUAAGUCAGCGGUCAAAUGUCGUGGCUCAACCAUGUCAAGCCGUUGAAACUGUAAGCCUUGAGUCUGCACAGGGCACAUGGAAUUCGUGGUGUAGCGGUGAAAUGCUUAGAUAUCACGAAGAACUCCGAUCGCGAAGGCAUUGUGCCGGGGCAUAACUGACGCUGAGGCUCGAAAGUGCGGGUAUCAAACAGGAUUAGAUACCCUGGUAGUCCGCACGGUAAACGAUGAAUGCUCGCUAUGGGCGAUAUAUUGUCCGUGGCCAAGCGAAAGCGUUAAGCAUUCCACCUGGGGAGUACGCCGGCAACGGUGAAACUCAAAGGAAUUGACGGGGGCCCGCACAAGCGGAGGAACAUGUGGUUUAAUUCGAUGAUACGCGAGGAACCUUACCCGGGCUUGAAUUGCAGGUGCAUGAGUCAGAGAUGAUUCUUUCCUUCGGGACUCCUGUGAAGGUGCUGCAUGGUUGUCGUCAGCUCGUGCCGUGAGGUGUCGGCUUAAGUGCCAUAACGAGCGCAACCCUUCUCCCCAGUUGCCAUCGGGUAAUGCCGGGCCCUCUGGGGACACUGCCAUCGUAAGAUGCGAGGAAGGUGGGGAUGACGUCAAAUCAGCACGGCCCUUACGUCCGGGGCCACACACGUGUUACAAUGGGGGGUACAGAGGGCCGCUACCACGCGAGUGGAUGCCAAUCCCUAAAACCCCUCUCAGUUCGGACUGGAGUCUGCAACCCGACUCCACGAAGCUGGAUUCGCUAGUAAUCGCGCAUCAGCCACGGCGCGGUGAAUACGUUCCC
rnacentral:rRNA from 1 species